rnacentral:misc_RNA from 11 species
GGCAAGGAGGUAAAAAUGACAUUU